rnacentral:rRNA from 1 species
ACACGACUACAUUAGAUACCCCUGUAGUCCCAGCCGUAAACGAUGCGCGUUAGGUGUAUCGGUGACCACGAGUCACCGAGGUGCCGAAGGGAAACCGUGAAACGUGCCGCCUGGGAAGUACGGUCGCAAGGCUGAAACUUAAAGGAAUUGCGGGGGAGCACCACAAGAGGUGGAGGCUGCGGUUCAAUUGGACUCAACGCCGGAAAACUCAUCGGGAGCGACAGCAGUAUGAUUGCCAGGUUGAUGACCUUGCUUGACAAGCUG